CCACAGUUUCCAAGUCAAGGUUUCACCCACUCCCAAAACCAUGCAGAUUGUGACUUGGCCUGGACCAAAGCGUGGAUCAUCCACUACGGCCUUAGUGCAGCUGGAGAAAAAUAAAGUGCCAAAGGGCACACAUGGCACCGAGUUGCUUGGCUGUUGUGGCUUUUGUUUUUAGCCAUAAACAGGCUGUUGCUCGCGCCCAACUGUGGCAAUAAGUUCAAAUGCCAGCCCAGAGACCCGGCGACUAAAUGCACGGCUUAAUGUGCAACCGAGGCUGACAGGCAGGAAAACUCAGGCCGGCAAGACUCAGACUCUGGCUAAGAAGUGAGGCUCCAAGCCAGGCUCAGGCUGCAACCUCCAAGAGUCAAGCUCAGGCGGACAAAGGUUCCUGUGCCAAAAUAAAAAAAUACAAAAAAAAUAGUGGGUGUAGCGGCACCAAAUGCCAUUGCCAACUUUUGGUCCACAAGCAACGCCAACGCAUCUCGUGAGCAUCCAAUCCUCGCCAGCACCACCUUCGCAUCCACCAUUCACCAUCCAGCAUCUACCAUCUGCAGUGCUGAUUUCUCCUAAUUUGAUUAAACAGAUUGAGUUUAAUAAGGUUCUCGUGGCCUUAGCACGAAUAGAAUGGCAGAGAAGAGAAAUGCAUCAGCACUUGACUGGGGCGGCAACAAAUGUUUCCUAAUUCAAGUGCCGCAUUUAUUUUGUAAACAUUUCACACCGCACUCGGUUCUGGAUUCUCUGUUCUGUGUUCUGCACCAGGAAUUCCCCAUCCGCACGACUUGUUGUCAUACAAAAUAUGCCGGUUGAGCAGUGAUAGCACUCGACUCUUGCCCACACAAAAGGCCGCAUCCCUACUCCUAUCCCAAACCCAAACCCUAUCCCAGUAACGAUUCCCGAUCCCGAUCCCAAGCCCGGACCUGGAACAACCCAAUCAUUGGCCCCAGUGCUCGCCCGUGCAAUGUGCGUUUUGUGUGCACUUAUGCGAUCAUUUGUUAAGUGUCAUCGCGCCGGCAUAUGGGCAGGAAAACAACUCGAGAACAGCCACAACAUCAACAAACUGGGCUGCUGGCGAAAUUUGUCCCCGGCAUCGAAAUAUUCUGAUGCCCUUAGCUUUAAACGAAACAAUCUCGACUUAACAGGAGAAUGAGUUUAAUCAACUCGAAAAGAUGGGUUUCAUGACGAUUCCUAUCACAUAAAGUAGCAUCUCCAAUACUGUAUUAGAUGACCUAUGAGA